ACACCCGAUUGUUUGCUGUCUGGGGUUCUGCCGGAGAGUAGCGUUGUUCAUUUUUUUACACAACACUUCUGUAAAAAAUAUAACACACCCGUGUCGGGCGGCGCCGUAAGCCAAGUUUUCAGGCCCCUCGCAAUGCCCUGAAACGCCCCAAAGAUGGCCGCAAGGCUCCUUUUUAGGGCAA
rnacentral:sRNA from 1 species